rnacentral:rRNA from 1 species
CCUACGGGUGGCUGCAGUCGAGAAUAUUUGUCAAUGCGCGAAAGCGUGAACAAGCAAUGCCGCGUGCAGGAUGAAGGCUUUCGGGUCGUAAACUGCUUUUAUUAGGGAAGAAUCAAGAUGACGGUACCUAAUGAAUAAGAGGUUACUAACUCUGUGCCAGCAGUAGCGGUAAUACAGAGACCUCAAGCGUUAUCCGGAUUUAUUGGGUGUAAAGGGUGCGUAGGCGGAUAUAUUAGUCAGAUGUCAAAUCCUUCGACUCAAUCGAAGAACUGCAUUUGAAACGGUAUAUCUAGAGAGUGUGAGAGAUCAGUGGAAUUUAUGGUGUAGUAGUGAAAUGCGUUGAUAUCAUAAAGAACACCAAAGGCGAAGGCAACUGAUUGGCACAUUUCUGACGCUGAGGCACGAAAGCGUGGGUAGCGAAUGGGAUUAGAUACCCUAGUAGUC